UGGGGAAUCUUGCGCAAUGCGCGAAAGCGUGACGCAGCAACGCCGCGUGGGGGAAGAAGGUUUUCGGAUUGUAAACCCCUUUCAGGAAGGACGAAGGUUCGGCAGUUAAUAGCUGACCGGACUGACUGUACUUUCACAAGAAGGUCCGGCUAACUACGUGCCAGCAGCCGCGGUAAUACGUAGGGACCUAGCGUUGUCCGGAAUCAUUGGGCGUAAAGCGCGCGUAGGCGGCCCGGUAAGUCCGUUGUAAAAGUCAAAGGCUCAACCUUUGAAAGCCGAUGGAUACUGCCGGGCUAGAGUCCGGAAGAGGCGAGUAGAAUUCCUGGUGUAGCGGUGGAAUGCGCAGAUAUCAGGAGGAAUACCCAUAGCGAAGGCAGCUCGCUGGGACGGUACUGACGCUAAGGCGCGAAAGCGUGGGGAGCGAACAG
rnacentral:rRNA from 1 species